CUUUAGUUGUUUGUUGCAAUUGUGGCCAAGCCACUUAAACUAUACUUGGUACAUGUACAGUCGGAUACUAUUAAGGCUAUCAUAGAAGCAUAUGUCAACAGAAGCGAAAAUUUUUAAUACUAAGCUACUAAGUACAUUAGAAUAUGUAUUUAAUUAAUCCAUUUAUGUUAUAAUUUUGCAGGUAAUUAAUGAAUGUAGGUAAUUUAGCCACAAUUAUCAAGGAAUAAACAUGGGCUUUAAUUGACUAAUUUCAAAGUUUAGACUACAAUUGCAUCAUAUAAU
rnacentral:misc_RNA from 1 species